GCAGGAAUUCCCUUGCUGAAGGUCUGGUGGUGAGUACAUGUCUUGGUGGUGCAUUUCUUGGGUCCAUUUUAAGUGGUUCAACAGAAGAUGAUGUAUGGCGUCGUAGGGGUUUUCAGUUGAGUGAUUUACCAAUGAUUAUUGGGUCUUUUCUUAGCGCGAUAACAGAAAUCCUGGAAGGUAUGCUUCUUGGGAGGUUUCUUGUUGGAA